ACAUGUAUAUCACCAAUCAAUCAUCACAUAUCUAUGAUUUUACUUAAGUAUAAUCUCCAUUUCAUCAUUUUAAAGCACAACAUGUUGGCCGAUUUUUCCCCUUAGCAUCUAAGGCAUAUGCAUGCUCAUUUGUUUGGCUCAACUUCACCUAUCUUCCAUUUUUCAUCAAAAGAACAUGAAACAACAACCAUUUCCUUCAUUUUAAUUCAUGACUAAAU
rnacentral:lncRNA from 1 species